rnacentral:rRNA from 1 species
GACGAACGCUGGCGGCGUGCUUAACACAUGCAAGUCGAACGGAAAGGCCCUGCUUUUGUGGGGUGCUCGAGUGGCGAACGGGUGAGUAACACGUGAGUAACCUGCCCUUGACUUUGGGAUAACUUUAGGAAACUGGGGCUAAUACCGGAUAGGAGCUCCUGCUGCAUGGUGGGGGUUGGAAAGUUUCGGCGGUUGGGGAUGGACUCGCGGCUUAUCAGCUUGUUGGUGGGGUAGUGGCUUACCAAGGCUUUGACGGGUAGCCGGCCUGAGAGGGUGACCGGCCACAUUGGGACUGAGAUACGGCCCAGACUCCUACGGGAGGCAGCAGUGGGGAAUAUUGCACAAUGGGCGCAAGCCUGAUGCAGCGACGCCGCGUGCGGGAUGACGGCCUUCGGGUUGUAAACCGCUUUCGCCUGUGACGAAGCGUGAGUGACGGUAAUGGGUAAAGAAGCACCGGCUAACUACGUG